rnacentral:rRNA from 1 species
GAGUAAUACCGUAUAAGCCCUUCGGGGGAAAGAUUUAUCGGGAAAGGAUUGGCCCGCGUUAGAUUAGAUAGUUGGUGGGGUAAUGGCCUACCAAGUCUACGAUCUAUAGCUGGUUUUAGAGGAUGAUCAGCAACACUGGGACUGAGACACGGCCCAGACUCCUACGGGAGGCAGCAGUGGGGAAUCUUAGACAAUGGGCGCAAGCCUGAUCUAGCCAUGCCGCGUGUGUGAUGAAGGUCUUAGGAUCGUAAAGCACUUUCGCCAGGGAUGAUAAUGACAGUACCUGGUAAAGAAACCCCGGCUAACUCCGUGCCAGCAGCCGCGGUAAUACGGAGGGGGUUAGCGUUGUUCGGAAUUACUGGGCGUAAAGCGUACGUAGGCGGAUCAGAAAGUUAGGGGUGAAAUCCCGAGGCUCAACCUCGGAACUGCCUCUAAAACUCCUGGUCUUGAGUUCGAGAGAGGUGAGUGGAAUUCCAAGUGUAGAGGUGAAAUUCGUAGAUAUUUGGAGGAACACCAGUGGCGAAGGCGGCUCACUGGCUCGAUACUGACGCUGAGGUACGAAAGUGUGGGGAGCAAACAGGAUUAGAUACCCUGGUAGUCCACACCGUAAACGAUGAAUGCCAGUCGUCGGGCAGUAUACUGUUCGGUGACACACCUAACGGAUUAAGCAUCC